UGGGGAUGAAAAUGAUUCGCUGAUCAAGACUCUGUUGACUUUGUUAAAGCAAAGACAGAACAAGGUUUGAAAAGCUAUGCUGAUACAAAAAGUUAUUAACAGAUAAAUAAUAGAAGAAAAGAAAGAGAAAGCAGAAUAAAAUGAUUGAUUUGAUGAUGAGAAAUGAAAAGUAAUAGUAGUAAUAGUUAUUACCAACGCCAAAUACCUAAACUCAGUUCAUCAAGAUUAAGAAAGGAUAUUGGUAUUCAACUGCUCACUUUCUCAUUGGGUCUCGUUUAUGUUCAGCCACGACACUAAAAAAGCAAAACUGCUUCACCUAUUCCUCAAUCAUCACUGUGCCUCACCCAACAACUACUGCAUUCUCUUUCAUCAUUUCAUACUUUUUUCAAUUCUAUUUCUUGUUUCUUUUCUUCUGAUAGUCAAUCUUUGACCACUGUUACAUUAAUUCUAUGUGCUCUCUUACUAUAUUUACUAUUGGACCUUUUUCUUCCCUUAUAUUUCCCUUUCUGUCUAGUGUUUUCUGAUCCAUGUUGACCUUUUUGUUAUCAGAUUGUUUCUUCUUCAUCUAAUGCUCCCUCUUCUCUUUCAAUGGGAACGGAAGGUGCUUGACUUAGUUGUGUUCUCAUCUCUAAUUUGUCACCCUUGCCAUGCGCAGAUACCACUUAUCUCCAACUCAUGCCUUGCCAUGCAUUCAUCUAUCUAUAUACACUUCCAUCUUCACAUGUACACACUUCAAAAGAACCAUAAAAGCAUAGCUCACCCCAGCACCAUAAUUUUUUCCCUGCUUUCGUAUUCAUCAUUAGGAGCAACUUCCAUUGCUACUUGAAACAAAACAGUCCUGUGUCAAGUUUUAGUGUUUCAAAGUUUCAAAGGAGAGCAACCCAAAUGCCACAAAUAAUGAG
rnacentral:lncRNA from 1 species